UAAAGGUUAACAAUUUAUUCACAAUUUGACGAUUACAAUUAAUUAAUUGUUGGCGGUGGAAAAAAAUCAAUUUUGGAAUUUAUAACAUGGACAAAAUGGUGGAUGGAAAAAGAAAACAAAAGAGAACAAAGAUUUAGAAUGUUAAUUGUAACUUGGAAGAGAGAAAGAGAGAAACUUGUAAUCAGGUUUGGAAAAUUGAACAAUUGGUCCACCCAGAAAAUUCACCGCAACUAUUAACAUGCUCCAUUCAAUGAGGAUAAUCAAGAUCAAGUUUAUUUUCACCAUCAUAAUCUUCAUCGUUAAUCAGUUAAUUGUGUGAGUGUUUGUGUUCAUUGAUUGUCUAUCAUCGUAAUUACGACAACCUUCAUCACCCAAUUUGGUAACAUUAUCGUAUGGAUGGUGAAAACCAGAAUAGCUAAUCAAUUCAUUUGGAAAAGAUCAACAUUACAUUUACAAUUUUUAAUCAAUGGCAAGAAAAGAGAUCAUCUUAAUUAUUAUUAUUAUUAUAACAAUUUGACCAAUAAUUGAAACGGUCAAUGAAUUUGACCUGGUCAACAAUUGUGAUCACAAUGGAGCAGUUGAAAAUUUGAUUAACUAUUAAUUUUAACGAUCAAAUUCAGUAAUCAAUUCAUUCAAAUUAUGUUUACAAUGGAUUAUCAUCAUCAACUCUAUUAUAACAAUUCAAUUUAGUUAAUCAUGAAGAAUUUGUUACCUGUAAUUUUUGACAAUCUAUUGUUUAAUUGUUUGGUUAAUUGUGAUCAUCAAGGGGACCCAUAAUUUUGGAUUAACAAUUUACAUUGACAAUUCCAAGGAUCAUUGAGGACAAUUAAUUUAGCUGGACAGUCUUGCUAAUUGUUUUAACUUUACCUUGAAAGUGUAACAAGUGAUCCCUUUUUUUGAUUAAUAUCUGCAUUACAAUUAGCUGAUUGUCUUGAAUAUCGUCGCUACGAUUAUUAAUUUUAGUUUAAUCGAUAGUUCAACAAUUAAAUUGAAAGGUUGAUUAAUUUGUGGUUGAUUUAGAUUUUUUUUCUUCUCUAUACUAAAUCAAUUACUCUAAUCACACUAAUUAACUAUCAAUCAAACAAAAAUUGAUUAUAUUAAUCAAUGGGAAUAUGUAUUAGUCCAAUUGAAAAGUUAAUCCAAUUUGAUUGUGACCUUGAUGGUUAAACUAAAUUGUUGUUAACAAUUGAAUCCCCUCUUAAUUCAUGAUUAAUUAUUGUGAUUUUGUAGCUUAAUCUUAAUCAUUUUAGACCAUUUAACCUCAACUAAUUGCUGCUGAUCUUAUCUAAAUCAAGGUUAACCAAUUGAUUGAUUAUGAAAUAAUCAAAACACACAAUCAACUAACCAAGUCAAUUAAUUUUUCAAUCACAACUUUUUUUCCUCCAUCAACAAUCACAAUUUGAAUCAAUUUAAUUUCCCUUUCCUGGAACAAGACUAAUCAACAAUUAAGCCAAAAAAAUCAAUAACAAAUCAGAUUAUCACUAAUUAAUUUACAACAAUUUAAUCAUGUCCAGUUUACCAACAAGAUGAUUAGAAGAAACAAAAAAAUCUCAAACAAUUAACUAAUUUCAUCUGAAAAAAUCUCAUCAUUAUAAUUUUCAAUGUCAACCAUCAAUAGUUAGUUAAAAUUAAAUCAAGAUAAUUACAAGAAACAUUUUAAUUAGACAAAAACAAUUAACUAAUUGUUGACAAUUAUAAUUAAUUUACUUCUUUCGGACAUUCAUCUAGCUAAGGUCACCAACAAUUAGAAAUCAAGUCAACUAUCAGGAAGACUUUUAAUUUCUCGUUCUUUCUUUGAUUGUUACAAUUAUUUUUACAAUUUAAAUGAUUAUUUAAUCAUUAAUCAUCACAAUUAACCUUAAGGCAAGGUCACAAUUAGUAUUUAACAAUUUAUUUAUAUUCUUAUCCUUAGAUUUGUAUAUGAAUCUGAUUCCCCUUUAACUUUGCAUUGAGAAAAUAAAAGUUUACCUGUUAAAUUGUUUGCUAAUUUCAUUACCUUGAUUGUUGAUGAUUAACAAUUACUAUCAACAUGAUGAUGAUGGACUCAUCAUCUAAAUAGGUCAUCCAGAAGUAGAGGAUAAAUACACGAUGAUGAAGGUGAUUUAAUUAAUUGGAAUGAGAAAAAAACUCUCACUUUUCAUAUUCAAUGUUUACAUUUAAAUUCCCAAACAAUUAACUCGAUUAAAGUGUAAUUUCUGGUUUACAAUCAGGAAGUUAACCAAUUGAUUUAGUUGAUAGGGAUUAACAAUUAGUCUAAUUGUAUAAUAAUAACUAAAUAUCUGUGGAUUACUGAGAUGAGCAAUUAAAGUGUAAAAUUAGG